rnacentral:rRNA from 1 species
AAACUCAAAGGAAUUGACGGGGGCCCGCACAAGCGGUGGAUUAUGUGGUUUAAUUCGAUGAUACGCGAGGAACCUUACCAAGACUUAAAUGGGAAUUGACAGCUUUAGAAAUAGAGCUUUCUUCGGACAAUUUUCAAGGUGCUGCAUGGUUGUCGUCAGCUCGUGCCGUGAGGUGUUAGGUUAAGUCCUGCAACGAGCGCAACCCCUGUCACUAGUUGCCAUCAUUCAGUUGGGGACUCUAGUGAGACUGCCUACGCAAGUAGAGAGGAAGGUGGGGAUGACGUCAAAUCAUCACGGCCCUUACGUCUUGGGCCACACACGUAAUACAAUGGCCGGUACAGAGGGCAGCUACACAGCGAUGUGAUGCAAAUCUCGAAAGCCGGUCUCAGUUCGGAUUGGAGUCUGCAACUCGACUCUAUGAAGCUGGAAUCGCUAGUAAUCGCGCAUCAGCCAUGGCGCGGUGAAUACGUUCCCGGGCCUUGUACACACCGCCCGUCAAGCCAUGGAAGCUGGGGGUACCUGAAGUCGGUGACCGUAAAAGGAGCUGCCUAGGGUAAAACUAGUAACUAGGGCUAAGUCGUAACAAGGUAACC